rnacentral:rRNA from 1 species
UGCCAGCCGCCGCGGUAAUACGGAGACCUCGAGCGUUACUCGGAUUUACUGGGCGUAAAGGGUGAGCAGGCGGCCAAGUGUGUCAGGUGUGAAAUCCCGGGGCUUAACCCCGGAACUGCGCCUGAAACUACUUGGCUAGAGUCUCGGAGAGGACAGUGGAAUUCUAGGUGUAGCGGUGAAAUGCGUAGAUAUCUAGAGGAACACCAGUGGCGAAGGCGACUGUCUGGACGAGUACUGACGCUCAAUCACGAAAGCGUGGGUAGCGAAAGGGAUUAGAUA